rnacentral:rRNA from 1 species
GGGGAAUUGUUCGCAAUGGGCGCAAGCCUGACGACGCAACGCCGCGUGGAGGAUGAAGAUUUUCGGAUCGUAAACUCCUGUCGAGCGGGAAGAAUAGUUUCCGGGCGAAUAUCCCGGGAACCUGACGGUACCGCUAAAGGAAGCCACGGCUAACUCUGUGCCAGCAGCCGCGGUAAUACAGAGGUGGCAAGCGUUGUUCGGAAUUACUGGGCGUAAAGGGCGCGUAGGCGGCCAUCUAAGUCAGACGUGAAAUCCCCCGGCUUAACCUGGGAACUGCGUCUGAUACUGGAAGGCUCGAGUUUGGGAGAGGGAUGUGGAAUUCCAGGUGUAGCGGUGAAAUGCGUAGAUAUCUGGAGGAACACCGGUGGCGAAGGCGGCAUCCUGGACCAACACUGACGCUGAGGCGCGAAAGCUAGGGGAGCAAA